rnacentral:rRNA from 1 species
AUACGGGGGGGGCAAGCGUUGUUCGGAAUUACUGGGCGUAAAGGGCGCGUAGGCGGACCAGACAGUCUCUCGUGAAAUCCCACGGCUCAACCGUGGAACUGCGGGAGAUACUACUUGUCUUGAGUUCGGGAGAGGAGUGUGGAAUUCCCAGUGUAGCGGUGAAAUGCGUAGAUAUGGGGAGGAACACCGGUGGCGAAGGCGGCACUCUGGACCGAUACUGACGCUGAGGCGCGAAAGCUAGGGGAGCAAACGGGAUUAGAAACCCCAGUAGUCC